AGACGGCUAGCUCAGCGGUAGAGUAUCACCUUCACACGGUAGAAGUCAUUGGUUCGAUUCCAGUGCCACCUG
rnacentral:tRNA from 1 species